GGUUGUUAGCUCAGUGGCUAGAGCUUAGGUCUCGUAACUGGAAGUCCCGGGAUCGAAUCCCGCUAGAGGCA
rnacentral:tRNA from 1 species